rnacentral:rRNA from 1 species
CGAUUGGGCGUUUGAUCAUGGCUCAGAACGAACGCUGGCGGCACGCCUAACACAUGCAAGUCGAGCGCCCAGCAAUGGGAGCGGCGGACGAGUGAGUAACACGUGGGAACAUGCCUUUCGGUUCGGCACAACUCAGGGAAACUUGAGCUAAUUCCGGAUGCGCCCGUAAGGGGAAAGAUUUAUCGCCGAAAGAUUGGCCCGCGUAAGAUUAGCUAGUUGGUGAGGUAAUGGCUCACCAAGGCAACGAUCUUUAGCUGGUUUGAGAGAACGACCAGCCACGUUGGGACUGAGACACGGCCCAAACUCCUACGGGAGGCAGCAGUGGGGAAUCUUGGACAAUGGGGGAAACCCUGAUCCAGCGAUGCCGCGUGAGUGAUGAAGGCCUUCGGGUUGUAAAACUCUUUUACCCGGGAAGAUAAUGACUGUACCGGGAGAAUAAGCUCCGGCUAACUUCGUGCCAGCAGCCGCGGUAA